GGCUAUGGCGGGCGGUGCGUGGGGGCCUUGCGCCCGCCGGUCUGAUUGCACACCGGGUUUCGAACCUCGCACCGUCCGCCACCUUU
rnacentral:antisense_RNA from 1 species